rnacentral:rRNA from 1 species
AUGUUCAAUAGGCAUGCAGAGUUGUUGCAUCUCUCUAAUGGCCGACCUGAUGGGUCCGUGGCCGAGGACGGUAAGACUGGUGACCAACUCGAAAGGAAGCGCCAGUUCUUGCUGCAAAUCGCCAUCCUCGGUGCCACCAUUACGUACCAAACCGGACUGAACCCGCCAGGCGGGUUUUGGCCGGAGAGCAAGGCCGAGGGGUCGCUUAUCACUGGCGACCCUGUCCUCCUUGACCACUACAGGAUCAGGUACCGGGUGUUCUUCUACUGCAACGCCACAGGAUUCAUGGCAUCGAUCACCACCAUCUUCCUGCUGGUGAACCAGAAGCUAAACAAGCAGGGCUUCCGGAGCAAGGCGCUCCAGUUCUCCGUCAUGGUCGGGCUUCUGGGCCCAGUGGGCGCUUACGCCGCCGGCAGUUGCCGGCAGCUGCACACAACCAUCUUCGUCUUUGCGCUUGUGGCCGCGGUGGUCGUCUUCCUCUUCAUGCAGAUCCUACUUAUCGUGUUGGCAAGGAGCAUCCCCUGUCUACGGAUGCCAUGGCUUCCCAAGGGGUUGUUUGAGCCACUGGUAUCAUCGUCGACUUGGCUGCCCCGCAAGAACAAAAGCAACGAUGAAAGGUACGUGAAACGCAAGUACUUGAUGUUGGUUGGCAUCCUUGGAGCAAGCAUGACCUACCAGGCGGGUCUCGCGCCUCCUGGUGGGACAUGGGGCGACGACGAUAAAGCGUCGUCCCCGUCGCCAUCAUCAUCACCACACCCACUUAGCGUUGGUAACUCGAUCCUACUCAACUCCAACCCGACACGGUACCAGAUCUUCUUCUACUGCAAUGCGACAUCAUUCAUGGCCUCCAUCAUCGUCAUCAUCCUGCUGAUGCAGUUUGCCAUGAAGCUGCAAAGAGCACCCCUGUGGGUGCUGCAAGCUGUCGUGGUGCUGGAUCUACUCAGCCUGCUAGGCGCCUAG